AAUAGUGCUGGGUCUAAAAAAUUAAUGGAUGAGUAAUUUAGUGUAUGCAAAGAAGACCUGCUGAAUAAUUAACAUCAAGAGGGUGCAUUAGUAAGGAAAGAAAAAAGGCUCAUAAUGCAGCCACAAAAUCACUUGAUAAAAAAGGUUGAAGUUCUCAUACGCAUUAAUUUGUUUAUUAUUUUACAGAACUGUUGAUUAUUUGAGUCUUCAUUUAACUUAAAACUGUUCUCAAAAUUUGCCUACACAUAUUAAUUCAUUAUCAAGAAAUUUUUGGUCGCCGCCCCUCCGCCUCCGUCGCCAUGGUAACGGUGUAAACAACAACAUGGCGGUGACAUUACGUCAAGCUGUGGCGCCGGGGGGCGUAUACGAUCUCCCGAAAGUAUCAUACAGUGAUUCCACAAAAUUACUUAUAAAAGAACUGAUCAAGGAGGCCUCUGUCAGUGCCCAGCACCAGCGGCAAAUAGAACGAUGGGUGGGGGGUGGGCGGGGCCUUCCUCCCCACCGUGCCCUCACGGUGCCAAGCCAGGCGCCAGCCCCUCCCUCCUCCCAGUCUCCAACACCUCGCCCACACUUCCAAACCAAGAGAUCUCAGGAGGCGAUUCGCAAAAUGGGACUUUAUGAGCCCAACACACACUACGUCCCACCUCAGCCAAAAUAUGGGCCAGGCUCGAAGGAGAGGUGCCAGGAACUGAUGGCUUUUGGCAGAGAAGGAGCUGGAUCACACAUCUCUACAAUCAAGAAAGUGCCCCAAGAGCCUGCCACUCCCUCAACCCCAACUGACCGCUUCUCAGAGUUGGUGAGAGAGAUGGAGGAGCGUGUGGUGUGGCUGGAGUCCAUGGAGGCAGUGGGUGCUGGACAGAAGUACCGUGGCCUCAUUGCCUCACAACUUGCUCUUAAGUUCAGGGACUUGGAACUGUUAGACCAAGAGCGAGCCCAAGACCUUGCCAAAGCAGAGAGGCAAGCAGUAACCAUCAAGAAUAACAAAGAAUAAUAUAGUCCAGAUGGGCAAGAGCUUUAGAGACUGAGGAUAACAGCUUCUUAAUGUAGUGUACUGUGGACUUGCUACCUGCUACAGUCAAGGUUGAAAGUCCAGGCAAGAGAAAACCACUCAAGGGAAGGGAAAACCACAAGCAGUGACUUGCAACAUCACCAAACAAGUAGUAAGAUCUAAACUAUUCUGGAGCUUGUUCAUUGCAACACUCUCAAGGGAAUGGCCUUGGCAGAAGAGUUUCUAUUUGUUCCUAUCUAUGCACUCCAUAUCAGCAUUCUCCAUUUCCUCUUCACUCAGGUAUUGCAACACUGCUCCUGAUCUUACAGGACAUUCCUUCUCACACUUCCAGCAUCCACUCCACCUUUGUAUACUCUUGUCUUCUCAACCCUACUUGUUUUAUUGCUACAUACUAAACCAUCAGAUGAAUUUGCAUUUGACUACCUGUACCACUCUAUAGCAUCAGUAAGAUGUCAAAUUUUUAACUAUAGGACAUAAAGCUAUGAUUAGAGACUUAGGUUGAGAGCAACCUGUCACUCUGUCACUAUGGUAUUAUGCAACAAUGACUUAAAUUGACAUUAAUACCACAUCAAACAUUCUAGCUUGUAGAGCAAAGUAUGCAUGUGGAUGAGUUGUCUUAUCUCAGUGUGCUCAUCUUCUAAACCAAACUUCUUGUCCUAUCCACUCCUACGCUGAUGAUAGCACCCUGCACUUUUCCACGUCUUUUCAUAGACAUCCAACCCUUCAGGAGGUAAACAUUUCAUGCAG